UACGAACCGUACAAACGUUAUUCGGAAUCACUGGGCUUAAAGGGUGCGUAGGCGGCCAUGUAAGUGGGGUGUGAAAUCCCUCGGCUCAACCGAGGAACUGCGCUCCAUACUGCAUGGCUUGAGGGAGACAGAGGUAAGCGGAACUGAUGGUGGAGCGGUGAAAUGCGUUGAUAUCAUCAGGAACACCGGUGGCGAAAGCGGCUUACUGGGUCUCUUCUGACGCUGAGGUACGAAAGCUAGGGUAGCGAACGGG
rnacentral:rRNA from 1 species